rfam:Callithrix jacchus chromosome 22, whole genome shotgun sequence
UCUCAUGCUGUGACCCUCCCGAGGGAAGCACUUUCUGUUUGAAAGAAAAGAAGUCGCUUCCCUCAGGGGGUUACUGUUUGAGA